rnacentral:rRNA from 1 species
CCUACGGGUGGCAGCAGUCGAGAAUCAUUCACAAUGGGGGAAACCCUGAUGGUGCGACGCCGCGUGGGGGAAUGAAGGUCUUCGGAUUGUAAACCCCUGUUAUGUGGGAGCAAAUUCAAAAGAUAGUACCACAAGAGGAAGAGACGGCUAAAUCUGUGCCAGUAGCCGCGGUAAUACAGAGGCCUCAAGCGUUGUUCGGAAUCACUGGGCGUAAAGCGUGCGUAGGCUGUUUCGUAAGUCGUGUGUGAAAGGCGCGGGCUCAACCCGCGGACGGCACAUGAUACUGGGAGACUAGAGUAGAGGAGGGGGAGGCGGAAUGCUCGGUGUAGCAGUGAAAUGCGUAGAUAUCG